rnacentral:rRNA from 1 species
AGUGAACGCUGGCGGCAGGCCUAACACAUGCAAGUCGAACGGCAGCACGGCAGUAGCAAUACUGUGGGUGGCGAGUGGCGGACGGGUGAGGAAUACAUCGGGAUCUACCCUGUUGUGGGGGAUAACGUAGGGAAACUUACGCUAAUACCGCAUAAGAACUGAGGUUGAAAGCGGCGGACCGCAAGGCGUCGCGCGAUUGGCUGAACCGAUGUCCGAUUAGCUAGUUGGCGGGGUAAAGGCCCACCAAGGCGACGAUCGGUAGCUGGUCUGAGAGGACGACCAGCCACACUGGAACUGAGACACGGUCCAGACUCCUACGGGAGGCAGCAGUGGGGAAUAUUGGACAAUGGGCGCAAGCCUGAUCCAGCCAUGCCGCGUGGGUGAAGAAGG